CUUUGUUUAUAUCAAAGCUCCAGGGUUCACCUGGAUUAUCUCUGGGUGACUUCAGUUGCUGAUCUCAUUUUAGACCUAGGAAUAUGAGGUCCCAGUUACUGAGAGACUUCCAGUUCCAGAAAGAAGGGUCUCAGUCCCUAAUUUCAGGCUGAUUGGAAAGUAGACCCUCAGGCAGCAGCUUUUAAGAGAGAAAUCACAAGUAGAUGGAGAGGCAGGCAGAGAGAG